UCACCCAGCCCCCUGUGAGUUGGCGCAUGUGCAGUGUAGGUCCUGCGGCCGGACAAAGGCAGUGUUACUGAGUGGGAGAGGAAUGGCGCCGGCGGCUGAAGGAACAAGAACAGGAGCCGCUGGAAAAGCUGAGCAGGUCCGGCAGCUCGUGUCGGGAGGAAUGUGAGGAGGUGUUUCGGGUCCGGUGAUCCUCCUUCAGAACAGGACCAGGUUUCAGGAACAUCCCGGGGAGGUCGCCAGGCCCGAGCGCCAAGACCUGGCUCCUGCCCCCGGGGAGAGGAGACAGUGAGACAGGGAUAUUGGAGAUCUGA